rnacentral:ncRNA from 2 species
CUCCCGCAUGAUCGCGCCGGUGCCCGAAAGGGCUUAAAAUGGGAACGCGGUGAGGAGGCCUGCGAGCAGGUUCUUCGAUUCCGCGGCUGUCCCUGCAACUGUAAGCGGCGAGCGCGAUGCACCGGCCCGAUGAUAUCGGGCCAGCCACUGGGGCAACCUGGGAAGGCGUGCAUCGAGCCCUGACCCGCGAGCCAGGAGACCUGCCGGCGUGGGUCGCUCAAU